rnacentral:lncRNA from 11 species
GUGAAAGGACGCUAGGACAUAGCAGUAGCACAGGAGAUACAGGAUUCAGCUACUCUCAGGAUUCAGGAACAGAUGUCAUGCUACUUGAAGACUAUAGUUCUGAUGGAGUGCACCCACAUUGUGUGUAUCCUCAUCGACGGAGGAGUUCAGUGACAUUUGAAGAUGAAGUGGAACAUAUUAAAGACAAAACAAAGAAUUCUAUCCUUCAUGUAAAAGCAGAAGUUCAUAAAUCCCUGGACAGUUAUGCAUCCAGCUUGGCCAAAGCUAUUGAAACUGACGUGAGGAUCACUUUGUUUGGUGGAGAUGCUUUAGCUGGUUCUUUGUUCCCAGUACGAACAGUGGGAAACAGCAGCACUUGUGCACGGCGCGGUGGCCGGACCCAUGCUGGCCAAAGACUACAGUUACAGAGCAUUGAGGAAGGAAACGCUUAAAAUGGCCUCAGUGGGGACCAGACAAAACCACUAAGGACAGUACAGGGCUGUUUCUCUUGGGAAAGAAAACAACCCAAGGAGUUUUAGUCAAGGACAUGGAAAGAUACCCGAAGACUUGGCUUAACAGUAUUAGAAUGUGUGUGUGUUUAUAUAAAUAUAUCCAGUGAGCUACCCCACCCUCCAGGAUAAUCACAAUGUGCCUGAAUGACUGCUUAGCAAAGGAACACGUUCAUAAUAAAAGGGGAAUGGGGAGCAAAAAAGGAGUCUGCUCACAACUUGAACAAUAAACUGCUAUUUGCUUUCCUCUUGUGGCAUAUAGUUCUUUGCAGGACCCUUUUCUUGGCUUUUCUCCUCUGAACUCUACCCAUUUUUAAGACAGCUCUUCCUCCUGUUUCUAUCUGUUCUGAUAAACAGUCCAUUUUUUUCAGCACAUGUCUGGAGAACAGUACAAUGAAACACAACCUAAUACAUCAAAUGAGGCCUACCAGAUCAAAUGUUCAGCAGGGGCUAAGGGCCUUUCCAUUCAGCCAUAUAAUCCAGAAUAUCAAGCCAGAAAAUCCCUUGAUAUCUGCUUUAAACUGGGUUAACUGAGUCCAUGCUUCCAUGUAUUCUAGUUCAAAGGAGAAAAUGUGGGAUUUUAUUCAGCAGUGUGAAAGGGGCCUAAGAUGUACAAACUGUCACUCUGGGUUUUAGUAUGAUAUUGCCAUGCUUGCAAAAUGAAAGUAUACGGUGUUUUUCUUGUGACUCUUCACAAAAAAAGACUUGUGUGGAUAAUAACAUGCUGAGCACAUUCUCAUUUUUGGGUCCUUCUACACUGCAUUAUAAUCAAGAAUAUCAUGUCAGAUAAUCCACAUUAUCUGCUUUGAACUGGAUUACCUGAGUCUACACUGCCAGAUAAUCCACUACAAAGUAGAUAAUCUGGAUUUUAUACAGCUGUGUAAAAGGGGCCUAUGAUGAUGGUGCUGCCUCUAAUUGGAAUUGCCAUUUCUCCAAACCCUGCUUUUUCAGCAGGCAGUAACUUGACCAAAGGGUUUCCAAGGUGUUGUAAAUUGGGGUGAUGAGAAAUGUUUGUAACUCUGUUGCAGAUCUCAUUGAGAUCAGGCAGAUAGAGAUUUCUCCUUAUGGUCCUCCUGCAACUGCUUGUGCCAAUGAGUCCCUAGAAAUUCCUUUGGCUGGAGUGCUGACAGUUUUGGGAAGCACAUUUAGUCUUUUGUGAGUACCGUAAUACAUGUGCCAGUCUUUAUUAAAUCAGAGCCCUAAAAACAAUUUUUGGUGAAAGGGGAGGGCUGUAUGUCAGCAGCAAGUGUGCAGGGCAGAGCAGAAGUGGGCAGGUCACCUCUUGUUCCUUUUCUUUCACUCCCUCUUCUUUUUCAGCCAUUAAGGGUCAGGGAAGGGUCAGAUUUCUCUUGCAAGAAGUCUGAACAAGAACUCGGAAAAGUUAUCUUUUAAGAAUACAACUCCAAAUCUCCCAUCAGCAUGUUUGCUACUGUCUAGGUAGCGUUCACUGAAAAAGCGUUGGCCUUGAUUUAUCAG